rnacentral:lncRNA from 1 species
UGUGCUCUUCCUGCAAUAAUAACAUUUGAAAUGUAAGGGUCGAGGCACACCCAUGCAUCAGGAUGAUGUGCACCACGUGGGAAGUAAUACUAAUAUGGCCUAAGUUGAUAAUGAAAUAUCCAAAGAUACACUUGACUGGAUCAAUUUUUUUCUCUGGAAUUGUUCCUCAUGAUGCGCAGAUGUAGAUGCUAUAUUUUUAAAAUUUCAAAUCACCUAUGCAUGCCAAUGUGAUUCUUAUCCUUUUCAUUAGACAGUGUGUUCCCAUCAAUCCAUCCAUGCAUCGAACCGUUUUUUUACUCUAUUCAGGUUGCAAUUACGAACAAGUAGCAUAUGUAUGCACUGAACUACUUGCAUAAGACAGUGAAAUGCUUCUUACUCGCGUGAGUGGAAUUUUGGAAUAGAGAAAGAACAUACAACAGAGAUCACAUAAUUAAAUGAUUACAUAAACCGAGAUCACGUAAAACAAGUUUGAUAGGUCCGUUGCAUCGCACGGGCAUUUUUGCUAUAUGUACUAACAGGUUCUAUUUAUUUCCUUUGAUCGGUCAAUACUCCUAUGUCCUAUGUAGGUAAGAAGGAAAGAAAACCUAACGGUACAGCCGGCAGAACAGUCAACGGCGAGCUUCAUCGCCGCGUACGCGUCGUAGUACCUGGCCAUCACCGGCUGGGGCAUCGAGGACUUAACGCUGGUGAAGAAGGUGUGGGUAUUGGUAGAGCUCCAAGAAGCUGCCCUUCGUCCUGCCCGCCGUCUUCAGCAUCGGUCCCUGGGUGACCACCCUGGAACUCGGCGACGCUACCAAGGCGACACGGUCCGGGUUGGUUCGGUCCCUCAUCGAGCCACCAUUUGGACCGGCCAACCACCACCGGCGUCAACGUGCUGGGGCAGCGGUGAGGUGGGCUGCAUGUGCGGGUGCUGUGGCGAGGUGGUGGACAUGCGGGAGCGCCAGCGAUGAGGUCAGUGAUGCGCCGCGGCAAGUGCGCGACUGUUAGCCAUGAACCUUCCGUAGCAGUUUUUUUCAUGAGCCCAUGUUUUUUUUGUGUUCGGGCCUUGCUAUAAUUAGCGUAUUAACCAUGAAAAAAAACAUGACAUUCAGUUUGUUGUCAAAUGGUGCCGUGAUUUUCGGAUCAAGCCAUGUUUCUCUUGUACUUCCUAUUUCCUGUUCGACUGAAUAGAAGUGCAGAAAGUGAACACACCAACAUGACUGAAAGCAGUCAUAUUCAGCUACAGAGGUAUACAUUUAUACAAGAUAUACACAGGCAGGUGCGGCCAGUAACCCAACUAACUCCUGAGCUGACCUUGCUAAUCCUUUACUCGCGAUAAAGACGCAGACGAUAAGGAAAGGUUGUUACGGAGAGAGCAAUGGGAGACAGAGAAUUACGUGGCGACAGGUGGACCUGAACAUAUGCUUCAACAAAGAAAACGACAGUGUAGGAUCAUGGUGCGUGAUUAUAGGCACAAGCUAUUAAAUCUCACACGGAAAUCACGGCUGAGCGAUUCUCGCACGAUCCGAAGUUCACACCCAAUCAACCGUUUUCCCCAGUUGAUGGCCUGCAUGUGUGUUGUGCUAAAACGGUCGCUGCCAUGGCAGCGAAACCCGCAGCUAGAACGCUGCCAACGCCAAGUUGAGAACUCGAGAUCGUCAAUGGUGCAUGCCCGACAGCGGCGACGAGAGGCUAUGGUGCAUGGGGAGGAGAGAAAAGAAGGAGAGGGGAAGCUUGGGGACAUGGUAGUUUACCCGGGGGCUGCCGGUCGGCACGCUGAGAACGAAUGGCACCCACUUCGAAAGACACCUUUUUAAGUUUAAAAAAAACUGAAAAUUGUUGCACAUGUACAGCUUCACAUUCUAUGUGUGCGCCAAAAGUUUCGAAGGAUUUUUUUUCGUGUGCAAAAAAGACAAAAAACUGUCUCAUGGAACACUAUUUUCAACCAUUGAAAUUUGUCUUUUUUGUGGAGGCAAAAUAAAAUGAUGUAUUUUUACAAAAGUUUGUGUCGCGCACAUAUUUUUGCAGAGAUGUAGACGAUAAUUUUUUUGGAAUUAUUUAUAACAUUUAAAAAUGCAUGUAACAUGCAUUUCUACAACCGAUAUAUGCAUAUAUACCUAACAGGCGGUGGUGGAUCGACACAAAUAGGGGCAGGGGGGUUUAGGGCGGUUGCAUACUCCUCCUUGACGGUCCAUGGGGAAAUAUGACGUGAAGGAGAUAGGGUGUCAUGGGGAAGAUGAUAUGGGCAUCGUUUGGUUUUAAAGGAGAGGGUUCUAGCGAGCAAUGCCCCGCUACAGCGGGAUACCGAGCAAGAAGAGGAGGGUCCACUAAAAAAGAGAAGGGCCCAUCGUGGGAUGGUUUUUUUUUUUUGUGUUGGGCCAGUGUGUUGAAUAUAACAUGGCGGACCACCAUAUUCCUCUCACACAUAUGGUCUGGAUUUGGGGUAGGAUGGACUGUCCAGACGGUUGAAUUUUGAGAAGCCCGCUAGACAACCGUUUCAUGUCUGAACAUGGUCAGGCGUACAAGAGAGAAAUGAGCGUCGGACUUGGAGACGACCCUAAUCAUUUGUUCAAUUCAUUUAUAUAUAUAUCAUAGCCAGUAGCAACGCACGGACACUCUGCUAGUUCUUUCAUAAUAAAGCACAGAUUGUCACGGCGUUUUUAUAAAAAAGUCCCUUUGCUUUUCAAAAAUAUAACCCCAGUCCUUUGUAAGUGGAUUUCCGAGAAAACGUUUCGUUUUUACCAAAAAAAAAACCCUAUGUUAAACCAAAACGACCAAACCAAUCCUCCGCCUCCUCCCCUGCUCUCGCCAUCGCCCGCACAACCCCACCCAAUCCCUCGCUCGCUCGACCAGAUCCAAGACGGCAGCGGCGGCCGGGGAGCGGACCGCGCGGGAGGAGGAGUUCGGCGAGCGCGAGCUGAAGGUGGUCGCCGUUCUCGCGGAUCUGCCAUCCAUCGUGCGGGUCAGCAGCCGCCAGCAGCAGCAGCAGCAGCAGGCGUGGCCGGAGAUCCCCUCGUGGGGCCGGCGCCGGCCGAGGAAGGCCCUGGCGGCGCCGCCGGCCGAGAAGCCCGCGGCCGAUGACGAUAGGAGCGAGGGCGUUGCCAGCCCGGACACCCCGCUCGCCUUCUCCGAGGGCGACGACCACGACGAGGCAGCGGCGGCGGAGGACGAGUCCAAGGCCAGCGCGCAGGACAAGGUGAGCCGCCAGGCCACGAGAUCAGCGCCCGCCCGCCUCCCUCCGCCAAUUAGGGCCGUGGGGAGGUUGGUGCUCUCACUCCUGCCGAACGCUCGCCUCACGCGCGAAUAUGGACAAGGUGCGCAUGCUGCUACCGCGUAAUGUUGUUACUUCCCUACUGUUUUCCGCACGACGCUCCUGCUUCCGUACUCUUUGCCGUGCCAUGCUGCUGCGGCUACUUUGCUACUGCUGCUAAUAUGUUGUGCUACAGUUUUGCUCAGUGUUUUGAGGAUAAUAUAUCUAUACUGCUCCCGUCCUGAACUCAGAAGCAAUAUAUAAAUUUGUGUGGCCACUAAAUUCAGGAAUGGACUGGAAGGGACGAUGUGAUUGAAAAGAAAAUCAAUCAACAUAAAUCAUGGCACAAUUUUCUAACUUAUCCAGAGCGGGUUGAUUGUAUGGAGUUGGAAGGAUAAUUUGUUGUAGUGUAGUUUCAAAGAUGAUUUAGACAAAAAAACACCAUCAAGCAUUGCAAAUGACGAGGUAGAAAAAAAAUUAAAUUUUCUAGCGAAUGAAAAAAUACAUAUUCAGAUGGCUUACUGGAGGUUCUUGGUUCAGGUUGUUAGAUGGAAGGACAAGGCAGCGGCAGUGGAGACGGGGAGUCGAUUAGGAAGGAAAAAGAGUUUGUACAACUGCUGCUCAGUGCGAAAAACAGAGGUAAAUAAAUUUAUUGUUCAGGUGGCGAGAUUUAGUCUCCCUUCUUUGUAUUCAGCGAUGAACUACUGAAUGGUGUUGAUAAAUUCAUGGCAUGAGUUGUCGAGGAGGACAUCAAAGUGUGGGAGGUUGCAGCCUUGCAGGAGAUUAGCCUUACCUUGGCAAAUUAGCUUGCGGCCCUAAAGCUGUAUGUUUCCUUAAUCUGAAGUGUGCACAAAUAUU